UACGGGGGGGGCAAGCGUUGUUCGGAAUUACUGGGCGUAAAGGGCUCGUAGGUGGCCAACUAAGUCGGACGUGAAAUCCCUCGGCUUAACCGGGGAACUGCGUCCGAUACUGGUUGGCUUGAGUUUGGGAGAGGGAUGCGGAAUUCCAGGUGUAGCGGUGAAAUGCGUAGAUAUCGGGAGGAACACCUGAGGCGAAGGCGGGCUACUGGGCCGAUACUGACGCUGAUGCGCGAAAGCCAGGGGAGCGAACGGG
rnacentral:rRNA from 1 species